rnacentral:rRNA from 1 species
AUACGUAGGGGGCGAGCGUUGUCCGGAAUUAUUGGGCGUAAAGCGCGCGCAGGCGGUCCUUUAAGUCUGGUGUUUAAGAGCGGGGCUCAACCCUGCUACGCACUGGAAACUGGAGGACUUGAGUGCAGCAGAGGGAAGCGGAAUUCCAUGUGUAGCGGUGAAAUGCGUAGAGAUAUGGAGGAACACCAGUGGCGAAGGCGGCUUUCUGGGCUGUAACUGACGCUGAGGCGCGAAAGCGUGGGGAGCAAACAGGAUUAGAUACCCUGGUAGUCCACGCCGUAAACGAUGAGUGCUAGGUGUCGGAGGGGAUAAACCUUUCGGUGCCGAAGUUAACACAUUAAGCACUCCGCCUGGGGAGUACGGCCGCAAGGCUGAA